UUGCGAUGAUGAAUUUGGUGCUCAAGUGAUCGUGGGUCGAUCACGAUCGUCUGAUUCCCUCGGACGAAAAAUCAACGCACAUCUGAGCUU
rfam:Cucumis melo, WGS project CAJI01000000 data, contig: 22680